rnacentral:rRNA from 1 species
GGACUACAGGGGUAUCUAAUCCUGUUUGCUCCCCACGCUUUCGCGCCUCAGCGUCAGUAUCGGUCCAGAGAGCCGCCUUCGCCACCGGUGUUCUUCCCAAUAUCUACGAAUUUCACCUCUACACUGGGAAUUCCACUCUCCUCUCCCGAUCUCUAGCCAUCCCGUAUCAAGCGCAGUUCCCAGGUUAAGCCCGGGGCUUUCACGCCUGACAAAAAUAGCCGCCUGCGCGCCCUUUACGCCCAGUAAAUCCGAACAACGCUCGCCCCCUUCGUAUUACCGCGGCUGCUGGCAC